rnacentral:rRNA from 1 species
GACGAACGCUGGCGGCGUGCCUAAUACAUGCAAGUCGAGCGAAGUUUUUCUGGUGCUUGCACCGGAAAAACUUAGCGGCGAACGGGUGAGUAACACGUAAAGAACCUGCCUCAUAGACUGGGACAACUAUUGGUAACGAUAGCUAAUACCGGAUAACAGCAUUAACUGCAUGGUUGAUGUUUAAUUGUUGGUUUUGCUAACACUUUGAGAUGGCUUUGCGGUGCAUUAGCUAGUUGGUGGGGUAAAGGCCUACCAAGGCGACGAUGCAUAGCCGACCUGAGAGGGUGAUCGGCCACACUGGGACUGAGACACGGCCCAGACUCCUACGGGAGGCAGCAGUAGGGAAUCUUCCGCAAUGGGCGAAAGCCUGACGGAGCAACGCCGCGUGAGUGAAGAAGGAUUUCGGUUCGUAAAGCUCUGUUGUUAGGGAAGAAUGAUUGUGUAGUAACUAUACACAGUAGAGACGGUACCUAACCAGAAAGCCACGGCUAACUACGUG